rnacentral:rRNA from 1 species
CAGCCGCCGCGGUAAUACGAAGGGGGCUAGCGUUACUCGGAAUUACUGGGCGUAAAGGGCGCGUAGGCGGCACGAUUAGUCAGGCGUGAAAUUCCUGGGCUCAACCUGGGGACUGCGCUUGAUACGGUCGAGCUAGAGGAUGGAAGAGGGUCGUGGAAUUCCCAGUGUAGAGGUGAAAUUCGUAGAUAUUCGGAAGAACACCAGUGGCGAAGGCGGCUUACUGGCUCAUUCUAGACGCUGAGGUGCGAAAGCGUGGGGAGCAAACAGGAUUAGAUACCCGCGUAGUCCCGUCUCUUAUACA